rnacentral:rRNA from 1 species
CAGCAGCCGCGGGAAUACGAAGGGGGCUAGCGUUGCUCGGAAUGACUGGGCGUAAAGGGCGCGUAGGCGGAUUGUUUAGUUAGGCGUGAAAUUCCUGGGCUUAACCUGGGGACUGCGCUUAAUACAGGCAGUCUAGAGUGAGGAAGAGGGUUGUGGAAUUCCCAGUGUAGAGGUGAAAUUCGUAGAUAUUGGGAAGAACACUGGUGGCGAAGGCGGCGACCUGGUCCUUGACUGACGCUGAGGCGCGAAAGCGUGGGGAGCAAACAGGAUUAGAUACCCGAGUAGUCCCUGUCUCUUAUAC